rnacentral:rRNA from 1 species
UGGGGAAUAUUGGACAAUGGGCGGAAGCCUGAUCCAGCAAUACCGCGUGUGUGAAGAAGGCCUGAGGGUUGUAAAGCACUUUUAAUCGGGAGGAACACCUGGUGGCCAAUACCUGCCAGACUGACAUUACCGAUAGAAAAAGCACCGGCUAACUCCGUGCCAGCAGCCGCGGUAAUACGGAGGGUGCGAGCGUUAAUCGGAAUUACUGGGCGUAAAGCGUGCGUAGGCGGCCUGUUAAGUCAGAUGUGAAAGCCCUGGGCUUAACCUGGGAACGGCAUUUGAAACUGGGGGGCUAGAGUUGAGGAGAGGGGAGUGGAAUUUCAGGUGUAGCGGUGAAAUGCGUAGAGAUCUGAAGGAACAUCAGUGGCGAAGGCGGCUCCCUGGCCUCAAACUGACGCUG